GGUUAACGGGGGAUUAGGGUUCGAUUCCGGAGAGGGAGCCUGAGAAACGGCUACCACAUCUAAGGAAGGCAGCAGGCGCGCAAAUUACCCAAUUCUAACAGUUUGAGAGAGGUAGUAACAAGAAAUAACAAUACAAGGCAGUUAAAAUGCUUUGUAAUUGGAAUGAUAGAAAUUUAAACCCUUUUUAAAGUAUCAAUUGGAGGGCAAGUCUGGUGCCAGCAGCCGCGGUAAUUCCAGCUCCAAUAGCGUAUAUUAAAAUUGUUGCAGUUAAAAAGCUCGUAGUUGAAGUUCUGCUAAAAGUAACCGGUCUGCUUUUAAUAAAGGUGGUAUCUUGGUGUGUAUUUAGCAAUGAUGUCCUUUGAAGUGUUUUUUACUUUAUUGUAAUAAAGCAUAUUCAGGACUUUUACUUUGAGAAAAUUAGAGUGUUUCUAGCAGGCUAACGCUUUGAAUACUGCAGCAUGGAAUAAUAAGAUAGGAUUUUAGUUCUACAUUAUUGGUUUUAAGAGCUAAAUUAAUGAUUGAUAGGGACAGUUGGGGGCAUUUGUAUUUAACUGUCAGA
rnacentral:rRNA from 1 species